rnacentral:tRNA from 1 species
GUGGCCUUAGUUCAGCGGUAGAACGCCUCGCUGUGGCCGAGGAAGUCAGGGGUUCGAAUCCCCUAGGCCACC